rnacentral:lncRNA from 1 species
CAUGAAGAAGAGUUCCCUCCUCCUCCUCCUCCUGCUUCUCCUGCUCAGAGUUCCUGCCUCCAGCUGCCAGGGGGGACAGCCAGCCAGCAGCAGGAGGUUGUGCACUCUAGGAAGAAAGGCUUUUCAUAGGCAUACUUUGUAAGGGGUUCCUUAAGUCGAGGAGCUCAGAUAUAGCCUUUCAGAGAGGCUACUCAUCAACACCAACAUCUGCAGCUUUAUUGAGGUAAAGGGGACCGAAACUGAGGCUGAGAUGUGUAAGCAUGCUUUUCAGUGCUUAUGCUGUUUGUUUACAUUUGCUGUUCACUCACGUUUGGGCAGUAGAAAUAAAUAGGUCAGCUUUUCUUCGGUUUUUGAAAGCUAGUCCCCUCUCUUUUUUCAGUUUCACAAUUUACUUGGUUUACAGCCUUGUAGGAAACCAUUACUACAUUUUUACUGGAAAUACUAUUAUUCAUGUUAAUUUCGGUAAGUUCUUUCUUUUUCUCUUCUUAAGUCUUCACUUGUGUGUGAAAUCUGUGUCGUGGGCUUAACACUGGCUUAUUAGGAGCCAUGUAAAAUGUCUGAAGAAUGCAUUUUAAAAUACCGGAAUGUAGCUUUUGAUGGCAAAGAGGAAAUUUUUGUGCACAAUUUACACUCAUUUUUUUUUUAAUUUGUGCUUAAGACUUUUGUAAAUGUGCAACUAUCUUUAAGUGAAGAACAUAGUAAUAAUGCAGGAAAUUCUUAAAACACAAAUAUUAAUAUUUUAGGUGCUUUUUUAAAAUCAGACUUUUGCUUUAGAUAACGUAUUUACAGCUUGACUGGCAUUGUGGGCUGCCCAUAAUAAAGUCUUUUGCUUGAGU